rnacentral:misc_RNA from 1 species
GUGAAUCAUCGAAUUUUUGAACGCAUAUUGCGCUUUCUGGUAUUCCGGAGAGCAUGCCUGUUUGAGGGUAAUUAAAAGAAUUCUUUAAUCCCUGUUGUGGGGAGGGGAUAUGGGUUUUCCACGUUUAAUUCGUGGAAAACAGAAAUAAAUGAGAGUCUUCAUUUAGUCGAGACGCGUAAUAAGAUUAUUUCGUGAAACGAUUAAUCAGCUAUCUAGUUCU